CACGGGGGGAGCAAGCGUUGUUCGGAAUCACUGGGCGUAAAGAGUAUGUAGGCGGUUGGGUAAGUUUGGUGUGAAAUCUCCCGGCUUAACUGGGAGGGUGCGCUAAAGACUGCCUGGCUCGAGUGUGGGAGAGGAAAGCGGAAUUCCUGGUGUAGCGGUGAAAUGCGUAGAUAUCAGGAGGAACACCUGCGGUGUAGACGGCUUUCUGGACCAUAACUGACGCUGAGAUACGAAAGCGUGGGUAGCAAACAGG
rnacentral:rRNA from 1 species